GACGAACGCUGGCGGCGUGCUUAACACAUGCGAGUCGAACGGAAAGGCCCUGCUUUUGUGGGGUGCUCGAGUGGCGAACGGGUGAGUAACACGUGAGUAACCUGCCCUUGACUUUGGGAUAACUUCAGGAAACUGGGGCUAAUACCGGAUAGGAGCUCCUGCUGCAUGGUGGGGGUUGGAAAGUUUCGGCGGUUGGGGAUGGACUCGCGGCUUAUCAGCUUGUUGGUGGGGUAGUGGCUUACCAAGGCUUUGACGGGUAGCCGGCCUGAGUGGGUGACCGGCCACAUUGGGACUGAGAUACGGCCCAGACUCCUACGGGAGGCAGCAGUGGGGAAUAUUGCACAAUGGGCGGAAGCCUGAUGCAGCAACGCCGCGUGCGGGAUGACGGCCUUCGGGUUGUAAACCGCUUUCGCCUGUGACGAAGCGUGAGUGACGGUAAUGGGUAAAGAAGCACCGGCUAACUACGUG
rnacentral:rRNA from 1 species